GACGUAGGUGGCGAACGUUAUCCGGAAUUAUUGGGCGUAAAGGGUGCGUAGGCGGCAUGAUAAGUUAUUGGCGGCAAAUCGAGGCUCAACCUCGUGGAAACUGAUAAUACUGUCUUGCUUGAGUGCAGAAGAGGUUAACGGGACUCCAUGUGGAGCGGUAAAAUGUGUAGAUAUAUGGAAGAACAUCAAUAACGGCGAAGGCAGUUAACUAUUCUGUUACUGACGUUGAGGCACGAAAGCGUGGGGAGCAAAACGG
rnacentral:rRNA from 1 species